rnacentral:tRNA from 1 species
GCGGGUGUAGCUCAAUGGUAGAGCGACAGCCUUCCAAGCUGAUGACGAGGGUUCGAUUCCCUUCACCCGCUCCA